rnacentral:rRNA from 1 species
GGGCUCACACAAGCGGUGGAGGAUGUGGCUUAAUUCGAGGCUACGCGAAGAACCUUAUCCUAGUCUUGACAUGUAUGGAUUAACCCUGUGAAAGCAGGGCCACGCCUUCGGGUGGAACAUACACAGGUGCUGCAUGGCUGUCGUCAGCUCGUGUCGUGAGAUGUCGCGUUAAGUCGCUUAACGAGCGAAACCCUUGUCUCUAGUUGCCAGCGCGUAAUGGCGGGGACUCUAGAGAGACCGCCGGCGUUAAGCCGGAGGAAGGUGGGGAUGACGUCAAGUCCUCAUGGCCCUUAUGACUAGGGCUGCACACGUCCUACAAUGGAACGCACAAAGGGCAGCAAGUUCGCGAGGAC